CGCACCCCGACCUGCCGGGCAGCCGCCGGCGCUUUGGCCAAGGAGCGACCCAGGAGCCCCGCGAACGGACGGCGGUCCUGCUGGGCCUCAGUUUCCCCAGGCCUUGGGCCCAGGCCGCACAGGCCUCCAUCACCCCCCAUCGCCAGCCACGACCGAGGACGCCAUGAGCCAGCUGGGGUCCGUGAGCUGCUGCCCCGGUGCUGCCAACGGCAGCCUGGGCCGGUCGGACGGUGUGGCCAAGAUGAGUGCCAAGGACCUGUUUGAACAGAGGAAGAAGUACUCCAACUCCAACAUCAUCAUGCAUGAGACCUCCCAGUACCAUGUCCAGCACCUGGCCACGUUCAUCAUGGACAAGAGCGAGGCCAUCGCGUCUGUGGAGGACGCCAUCCGGAAACUGGUGCAGCUGAGCUCCAAGGAGAAGGUCUGGACACAGGAGAUGCUGCUGCAGGUCAACGACCAGUCACUGCGGCUGCUGGACGUGGAGUCUCAGGAAGAGCUGGAGAACUUCCCGCUGCCCACCGUGCGGCACAGCCAGACGGUGCUGGACCAGCUGCGGUACCCGUCCGUGCUGCUGCUCGUGUGCCAGGACUCGGAGCAGAGCAAGCCCGACAUCCACUUCUUCUACUGCGACGAGGUGGAGGCGGAGCUCGUGCACGAGGACAUCGAGAGCGCGCUGGCCGACUGCCGUCUGGGGAAGAAGAUGCGGCCGCAGACCCUGAAGGGCCACCGGGAGAAGAUCCGGCAGCGGCAGUCGGUCCUGCCCGCCCCCAAGGGCCCAGCCCCCAUCCCCUUCCAGCGCCACGGCGGUGACUCUCCGUCCAGCAAGAACCGAGUGGGCCCGCCCGUGCCCCUCAGCGAGCCGAGCUUCCGCCGUCGGGAGUCGCAGGACGAGGAGCCGCGGGCUGUGCUGGCCCAGAAGAUAGAGAAGGAAACGCAAAUCCUCAACUGCGCCCUGGACGACAUCGAGUGGUUCGUGGCUCGCCUGCAGAAGGCGGCCGAGGCUUUCAAACAGCUGAACCAGCGCAAGAGGGGGAAGAAGAAGGGGAAGAAGGGGCCAGCAGAGGGCGUCCUUACGCUCCGGGCACGGCCCCCCUCGGAGGCCGAGUUUGUUGACUGUUUCCAGAAAAUCAAGCUGGCUAUCAACCUGCUUGCCAAGCUGCAGAAGCACAUCCAGAACCCCAGCGCUGCGGAACUGGUGCACUUCCUCUUUGGACCGCUAGACCUGAUCGUCAGCACCUGUGGGGGCCCAGACAUCGCAUGCUCCGUCACCAGCCCCAUGCUCUCCCGCGACGCCGUGGGCUUCCUGCGAGGCCACCUAGUCCCCAAGGAGACGACGCUGUGGGAGUCACUGGGGGAGACAUGGACGCGCCCCCGCUCUGAGUGGCCACGGGAGCCGCAGGUACCCCUCUACGUGCCCAAGUUCCACAGUGGCUGGGAGCCACCCCUGGAUGUGCUGCAGGAGGCUCCCUGGGAAGUGGAGGGGCUGGCGUCUGCCCCAGAUGACGAGCCGACUCCAGUGAGCCGACUAUCCUUCCGAAACUCCCCAAAACACAGCCUCGUACCUGAGCCCACACCUCCGGGGGACGUCCUCCCACCAGUCAGCUCCCCGCAUGCUCACAGGGGCUACGAACCUGCACCGGCCAUGGCCAAGUACGUCAGGAUCCUCUAUGAUUUCACGGCCCGGAAUGCCAACGAGCUGUCAGUGCUCAAGGACGAGGUCCUGGAGGUGCUGGAAGAUGGCCACCAGUGGUGGAAGCUUCGGAAUCGCAGUGGCCAGGCCGGCUACGUGCCCUGCAGCAUCCUGGACGAGACUCGGCUGGAGGACGUCCCCCCAGAGCAGGCCAGUCUGAAAUACUGGGGUCCUGCCAGCCCCACCCACAAGCUGCCCCCAAGCUUCGCAGGGAACAAAGAAGAGCUGAUCCACCACAUGGACGAGGUCAACGACGAGCUCAUCAAGAAGAUUAGCAACAUCAAAACGCAGCCGCAGCGGCACUUCCGCGUGGAGCGCAGCCAGCCCGUGGGCCUGCCGCUCACCUACGAGUCCGACCCCCACGAGGUCCGCGCCUGGCUGGAAGCCAAGGCCUUCAGCCCACGGAUCGUGGAGAACCUGGGCAUUCUGACCGGAGCCCAGCUCUUCUCGCUCAACAAAGAGGAACUGAAGAAGGUGUGUGGGGAGGAGGGCAUCCGCGUGUACAGCCAGCUCACCGUGCAGAAGGCGGUCCUGGAGAAGCGGCAAGGUGGCUCGGAGCUGGAGGAACUCAUGAGCAGGUUUCAUUCCAAGAACCAGAGGAGAGUGGAGGAGGACAGCUAGAGCCGGCCGGCAGGGCCCACCCCAGUGCGUGGAGGGUUAUUUUUGGAUGUGUGUAUGUUUCGUAUCAUGGACGUGGAGUGGGGGACGGCUGGGGGCGCCUCACCUGCCUCAUGGCACGUGGCCUGUCCUCAGGCUCCCCAGCACCUCGCCCCCCCCCCCCCCCCAGGCUGCCUGCCCCAAGGCCCUGUUCCGCCAAACUAGCCGCCUGGAGAUGCCAGCCCCUCACGCACCUGCCCCUGAAGCCAGAGCCGUGGCCUUUCCAGCCCCGCCCCGCCCCCUUCCCGGCUUUCAGACCCACCCCCUCCCUGAGGCCACAGGACCCCCACGCGGCGGCCGGGACUUAUCCUUUGUUCCCCCCCCCCCCUUCACAUGGGGCUCCUCCUGGCGCUUGUGACCCUGGCUCCAACCUCGUGCCCCUGGCUGCUGCUUCUCACGUGCCUGUGGAUGGGCUGUGGGCCAGAAUGGCAGGAGGCCUCAGCCACCCUGGGCGCCGAGCGGCGCCUCGCCCCCAGCCCGGCGUCCAGAUCUGCACAACCCACGCCGAUGCCCCUCCUCUCCCCACGUUGCUUGAAGAGGACCUGUUUUGCGCUGAAACGCGCUCGUGCGUCGAGUGCUGGCUCCCCAAGAUACCACCACGUGACUGUGGCUCGAUCUCGAGCUACGGGGGCUCGCCUGCCUGUCGACACUUGGCGGGGUCUGAGGGGUGAGCGGGCGCGGUGGGGAACUGUGAGGUUUCAGGGUCUGGAUUAAGCCAGGGUUUUUAGACGCUUGACGAGGACUGGGCAAACGCGAGACCUAUUCCCUCAGGACUGGCGGGCGCGUCGAGGGUUGGAAGUGACCGGGGGGUCCACGCACCUGCUUGAGCCGCGGCCACCUCCGGGCCCCGGGGCCACCGCCUCAGGAGACCCCCAAAACAACAUCUUCCCAGUGUUUCCUGCCUCGUGCCGCUGACGAGCUGUGUGCUGCGGGUGGUUCGGCGCCUGGUCUACCGGUGCUGUUGUUGAAGGAAGGAUAAGCGCGUGCCUUUCCGUUUUCGUAGUUGUAUUUUCUGCUAUAGUAAACAUCGGUAGAGGUAACCUACGUAAGCAACACUUCCCCGGGACCCUCGAUAAUUUUUGACUGUGCGAAAGGGUCCCGAGGCCCCGGUUUGAGACCGUUGACGUGGACUCCACAGGUGCACCCCUGCCGAGAAACAGGAGCCCGCGCUCGCGGUGGGAGAUGGCCGAGCUGUGCGUGGGCAGCUGUGGGGGAGCCGCAAGUUCCCUCCCCCCCCACCCCGCCACCCCGCCACCCCGGAGCAGGUGCUCGAAGUGAGCCUGCGGAGAAAGGCAGAGGGAAGCGGCAAACGCAGGAAGCUGGCCAAUGGCCGAGGUUGACGGGCGCGUGGACGGCCCCCCGGGGUCUGCGUGUCCCCCGGAGCGCGCCCCCUCCCCCCCCCACCCUCCGUGGCGGGCACAUGGGGGAGGGGCGAGGGCCCCCUGCGGGUGUGGGGAGCAGGGGAGCGGCGUGUGGGUGCCACGGCAGGGCCAGGCAGGGGGAGAAACUGAAUGCAGGUGCAUGUGGGAGAGGGUGCUCAGUGAGGAAAUGAGAGGGUGACAGUCACACCGUGCGAACGAAGCACGCGGAUGAAAAGGGAAGAAUCGAGAUUCAGAAACGAUACACCUCUUGCGAGAAGGCGAGUAAACCGAGUAAGCGGAGGCGCUGGAAGCGCUCCUCAGUGGCAGGAAAUGGAUCUGAAAGGGAAGCAACGUAUAAAUUAAAAAGAGCAGGAACAGGUUCAGACGACCAAAUACUCGCCCUCCCGCCCAUGACCUUGAGUCUGGCGGCCCGACCGCCAGAGUGACCGCUGUCCUGACAGGCGUGGGUCCUUCCGACCAGCGCGUUUCUGUCCUCACAACCUGCGUGCGUUGCCCCGAAUGCCGUUGGCGGUCGCCGCUCGCGUCUUUAAGCAGGAAGUUUAAAAAGUGCAAGAGAGUUUUUAAGGCAAGCCUCACCUGCCCCCGCCCAAGGUCGCCAACAAGGACAAGCCAGCCGUGGGGAGGCACCCGUGGCUGCAAACAGGGGCCUCCCGCCACGGCCACGAGGGUGGGACGGGGUGCAGUGGCUCCGUCUACACCUGCGGGUGACACAGCCCGGGCGGAGCCGCCCAGCUAGGCCGCUCCCAGGUUCUUUUUAUUUUGUAAUUGUGAUAAAAUACACACAACAUAGAAAGUACCGUCUUCACCGACUCUUAAGCGUGCAGCUCAGGGGCGCUAAGCACCUUCACGCCGUUGUGCGGCCGUCCCCACCCUCCGUCUCCAGAACUUUCCAUCUCCCCCGACGGAAGCUCCGUCCCCGUGAAACACGGACCCCGGCCCCUCCCCCAGCCCCGGCGCCCACCGUCCAUUCUCCGUCUCCGGGAACCUGGAGACUCCAGGGGCCUCGUGUGAGGGGAUCACACGUGAGCAUCACGUCCCCCGGGUCCACCCACGCUCCCCCCAGCGAUGCUCCCACACCCAGUGCCUCUCCAGGCUAACCCCAGACCUGAGCUCUAGACCUCUAACCCUCCUGCUGCUCCCCUCGCACCUAAACAAGAGGGUGCCCCUGCCCCCCCACCCUUGACCUGCUCGCCCCCCCCCCCCACCUUCCCGCACAGCCAGCUCUACCAGCAGAGCUCUGCUUGCGGCCUCACCCACUGUCCCUGCCCCUGGGAACAGCGGUGCCCCCCCCCCCCCCCCGGUGUCAGUCUGACAUGACACAGGGCCUGGAGAGAUCCUGUAUUUUUUUUGACAUUUAUUUAUUGAUUUUUGAGACAGAGCUGGAGCACCAGCAGGGGAGGG